rnacentral:rRNA from 1 species
GUUAUUUAUUUAUAUAUUAAAAAUAAUUUUAUUUUGUUUAAGUAUAAUUUAUAGAAUAAAUUUUAUUGUUUAUUUUUACUGUAAAGGUUUAAUGAAAUAUUUUGAAAGAUUAUUGUUUAUUUAAAGUAGAUUAAUUUAUUGUACCUUUUGUAUCAGGGUUUAUUAAAAUUUUUCUAUUUAUUAUAGAUUUCUCGAAGUUUAAGGAGCUAUUAUAUAAUUAUAUUUAUUGUUGAAUAAAUAUUAUUAAUUUUAUAAUAGUUAUGAAAUGUUAUUCGUUUUAAUUGUUAUCUAGUUUUUUAAGAAAUAAAUUUAAUUUAUUGUUUUGAAGUAAUUUUAUUUUAAGUUUUAAAAUAUAUUAUUUUGAGGUUGAAAUAUAUUCAGGGAUAAGCUUGGGUAUAUUAUCUAUAAUUUGUAUAUUUAUUUUGAUUUUAUAGGCUUUAAAUUAGCUUUUAAUUUAAGUGUGUUAUAAUUUAUUUAAUUUAUUUUAUGAUUUUAUAAUAUUUUAGAUUUUGUAUUAAAAUGAAUUCAAUAAUAUUUUUUGAAUUUUAAUAAUGAUUGAAUUAGUAAAUUUGUUUGUUGUAUAUAUUUAUUAAUUAUUUGUUUAUUUAUUAUAAGGAAUUAGGCAAAUAUAGCAUUCGCCUGUUUAACAAAAACAUGGUUUUUUGAUAAUAAUUUAAGAUUUGACCUGCCCACUGAUUUAAGAUUAAAGGGCCGCGGUAUUUUGACCGUGCAAAGGUAGCAUAAUCAUUAGUCUUUUAAUUGGAGACUGGAAUGAAUGGUUUGACGAGAUGCUUUCUGUCUCAUGAUAAUAAAAUUUAAUUUAACUUUUAAGUUAAAAGGCUUAAAUUGUAUUAGAGGACGAGAAGACCCUAUAGAGCUUUAUAAAGUUUUUAAUAUUUUAUCUUUGGAUUUUAUAUUAAUAUAUUAUUUUCUUUAUUUUAUUGGGGUGAUAUAAAGGAUAAUUAAACCCUUUAUUUAUUAUAACAUUUAUUUAUGAUUAAUUGAUCCAUUAAUAUUGAUUGAAAGAUUAAGUUACCUUAGGGAUAACAGCGUAAUUUUUUUUAAGAGUUCAUAUCAACAAGAAAGAUUGCGACCUCGAUGUUGGAUUAAGGUAUAAUAUUAGGUGCAGAAGUUUAAUAUUAUAGUCUGUUCGACUAUUUAUUCCUUACAUGAUCUGAGUUCAGACCGGCGUAAGCCAGGUCGGUUUCUAUCCUUAAUUUAUGGAAAUAUUUUAGUACGAAAGGACCAAAUAUUUUAAAUAAUUUAUUUUUAUUGAUUAUUAUUAAUUAAACUAUUUUGGCAGAUAAGUGCAC